rnacentral:ncRNA from 1 species
GUAUCGAUUCGAGGGAUAAUAGGGAACACGGUGAAAAUCCGUGACGCUGGACCAGCGCUGUAAGCGGGGACCGAGGCCGCACGACGCCACUGAUCCGAAAGGAACGGGAAGGCGCGGCCCAAGGCAUGGCACUCCGGAGAUGGAGAUGCCGUAGAUCCGCAAGCCAGAAGACCUGCCGCAAC